GCCGUAAGGCGUGGCAUACGGCUCAGUAACACGUAGUCAACAUGCCCAAAGGACGUGGAUAACCUCGGGAAACUGAGGAUAAACCGCGAUAGGCCAAGGUUUCUGGAGUGAGCCAUGGCCGAAAUCUAUAUGGCCUUUGGAUUGGACUGCGGCCGAUCAGGCUGUUGGUGAGGUAAUGGCCCACCAAACCUGUAACCGGUACGGGCUUUGAGAGAAGUAGCCCGGAGAUGGGCACUGAGACAAGGGCCCAGGCCCUAUGGGGCGCAGCAGGCGCGAAACCUCUGCAAUAGGCGAAAGCUUGACAGGGUUACUCUGAGUGAUGCCCGUUAAGGGCAUCUUUUGGCACCUCUAAAAAUGGUGCAGAAUAAGGGGUGGGCAAGUCUGGUGUCAGCCGCCGCGGUAAUACCAGCACCCCGAGUGGUCGGGACGUUUAUUGGGCCUAAAGCAUCCGUAGCCGGUUCUACAAGUCUUCCGUUAAAUCCACCUGCUUAACAGAUGGGCUGCGGAAGAUACUAUAGAGCUAGGGGGCGGGAGAGGCAAGCGGUACUCGAUGGGUAGGGGUAAAAUCCGUUGAUCCAUUGAAGACCACCAGUGGCGAAGGCGGCUUGCCAGAACGCGCUCGACGGUGAGGGAUGAAAGCUGGGGGAGCAAACCGGAUUAGAUACCCGGGUAGUCCCAGCUGUAAAC
rnacentral:rRNA from 1 species